GAAAUAUAUAAAAUGUGAGUUUGCAGAGUGAAGAGGACCGUCUAUGACGGGGGUGGUGGUGGGACUCUUCAAACUCUCCUAAUAAUUUUUACUUGCAGCUAUUCUUUCAGUUCAAUGGGAAAUGACAUGUAUAAAAGUAAAUUUGCUUCAGUUAUUUCCACUGGCUAGUAUCAAAGACGAAAACCACGCUGUAUGAAGCAAGGAAAGAAAGCAAGUAUUCGAAAUGCUUGGAUACAGAUAAGUAACUAACAUACACACAUUUACAGUCUUAUUGUCUAAAAAUUGAUUACAAUUCGUUCUAACUUUUUCUGACAGGUUCUAUGACCAGAAACUACAAUCGAAAGGAGUCAGCGAUACUGCAACAAAAUAUUUAUCAGAGAUAGGAAACACUCGUAAUGGGUUCUUCAGGAUACGUAGAGUGUAUAGCAUGAUACUUGAAGACAUGUAUUUGUCGUCCGAUGGAAAUAGUUGUAUUAAUUGAAAAUCACCACAUAUGCAUAAAGGAAAGAAAGUUUUACAACCAGUAACUGCAAUCGAAAGGGGUCAGUGCCGUUGCAACAAAAUAUUUCUCAGAAAUAGUCAACACUAGUAAUGAAGUCUUCAGAAAAUGGACUACUAUCAAUAGUGAAAAUUGUGCUCUAUCAGGAAAGGAAAGGAAGCAGGUCUUUGCAGUAUAAGCAUAAAGGUUCUAUGACAAUAAAGGGGUCAGUAUCAUUGCAAGAAAUAUUUAAGAGAAAUAGGAAACUAAUAGUGGAUUCAUCAGGAAGUAUGAAACUAAGGUGUACAGCGUGACAGUUCAAGAGAUCCGGUAUCGUCUCAACCUAAUUUUAUACAUAAUAUUUGUUCAAUAACUGCUUUCUACAUAGGACGUUUAAUAAUCUUCUAAUAAGUGUAUAGCAUUCUUGUUUGCUGUAGUAUUUUGUUAAUAAAAAAAGGUUUGUACUUUACAGGUCAGAAUUUAAAUCUCUUUUUGUCAGUGUUUCAAUAUCCAUUUGUUAUUUAUGUAUUAAUCUACCCCAACCUAACCGUCUUAAUUUUCAUGUAAAAAAUGUGUAAACUAAGAAACUUUAUUUUCUGGGGAUUUCCCCUCAUUUAUUUUUCCGUCUCGUUAAUAAAGAAAUGUCUAAUGUAACAAAUUUCAUUUUCUUGGAAUAUCAUGUCACCUAUUUUUCCUUUUCAUUCAUAAUUCUUUAUUGCAGCUAUUGUAACGUAAAUACAUUUCGAACAAUUAAAAUGUACAAUUAACUUUUUACACUUGCACUAUCAAUGAAAAUUACUACACUGAGCAUUCAGAAUCCCUCAAGGAAAAAUUAUACAGUAUAUGCUGUUGAGAAGAAACUAUACUGUAUGACAAUAACGAGCAGCUCCAUCUAGUUUUCCUCCGCUACCGCAUAUCUAAUGGUAAUACCAUUUCUAUGCAGAGAGUAGCUGCUGUAAUACCGACCUGCCAAAUCGGAGAGGUCACGUGCCGUGUCUACCCCCUUAACGUUCUCGUCGAAGAGGUCGAGCACACCGCGACCGCGUCAAGACUGUCCGAACAUCGUUUCCAAAGUCGCUUUUGUGCGAAUCGUGACGGAAUUUGGGCUAACGUGAACGAAAUCAGCACGUGUUAUCGAAACGUAGUUCUCGUGUCGGUUACCGGUCGUCCCGGUGACCUUAGACGCUACGACAGCUCGGCAGUGUACACCGUAUUUUGUAACAUCUUUCGCGUACAAUAUAUUCUAUAUUAUUUUAAACGAGUGCUGUGUUAAUCCGCCCCGUCUUGCCGUGAAGACGGCUUUCUUAGACUUCCUUUCCUCGCCGAUGAUUCACGCUCCUCUCCGCGAUCCGGAUCGCUAGCCGUGAUAAUUUUCGCGACGUUCGGCUUCUCACGCCGGUAUCUUCUGAUACCUGGCGCUCGGGUUUUCCCGUAAAGGCGUGAGAAGUCGGAAAACUCUCAUUUUGCACAGUUUCCGACGCGGAUCGCGGACCGUGUCGGGAAAUCACGUUGCAAUAUAUAUAUAUAUAUACAUUCACUCUUUUCCGCUCGCAAAGCUUAUACAUAUAAAUUGUUAAUUGGAGGGUGUUAAACAAUGCUUCUACGUCUUCAUUGGUUAAGAUAAUAUAUUUGAAUAAUAUAAUAGAAUGAUCACGUUCUCUCACACCCAUACUGAAUAGAAGACUGUCUCUUCGGACACGCGCUUCCACAUGGAGGGGGAACACACACAUAUAGGUAUACAUUCGUACAAUACAAAUGUACCUACAUUCACACAAUACGCCUCCUUACAUAUGUAUUGUAUCUUUGAAAUAAACGCAUUUUUAUUUAAUAUUCA